rnacentral:lncRNA from 1 species
UCCAUUACAACCAGCCUAAGUCAUGAUGAAUUGGGUUAACUGCGCUCGGAAGGCCACUUAACAUGGAAUGUCCAUAAACCAUGGCCAUAGAGGCAAGAUCGACUGCAUUGCCCCUUGGGCCAUUUUCUUGUAUUGUGCCAAGUAGAAACUAGUCAAUUGAUCAUAAAGCCACAUUCUCUAAAAAAGGCUUGAACUUGUUUGUCGCCCUUUUGCACAGGUUGCAGGAACUGCCCAGGGGCGACCGCUUGACAGUGCUUAGUGCAACAACAGGUCGUUAUGAAGGGGAAGAAGCCGCAGUAGCCCUCCUCAAACCCUUCUUCCUUGCAUGGCUUAUUGCAGGUUCCGGUCUUGCCGCACAGCUGCCACCCGGGUCAUGUUUUGCUGGUGGCGCCUCAGAUUUUGUUUCCCGCUGCAUUCCAUGGCCAAUAGUCGUGAUUAACCCAAAAAUUAUUCUAUCAAAAUUGAAAGAAAGGAAGAAAAGGUAAAUAAAUUAUUGCGUACGUGGAUCCCGGGGAACUGAGGCGGGGAUGUCCUUUGCACAAUCAGUCACGGUGAUGGUCAGCGGACACACUAUCAGGAUUAGCAAUAAGCUUUUCUUCAUCGUUGACCUUGCUCCCAUAGCCAUGGCCAUGCCCAUGGUCGACGAUCAAACUCUUCUGGAUCUGUUUAGGGUCUCCUCCCCAC